rnacentral:lncRNA from 1 species
GACUACACCCAGUGUGGCACAUAGUCACUUCUGCUGCCUGCUGAUCAAGAUGCAGAAUUCUGAGCUCCUUCUCCAGCACCAUGCCUGCCUGGAUGCUGCCAUGCUCCCACCUUGAUGAUACUGGACUGAACCUCUGAACCUGUUGACCUGGAGGAACUGGCUGGUCAAAGGUGUUUGGUUCUGGCUCCACCGCUGGCGGGUGCAAGGUGCUUGCUUGUUUUGUCCUCUCUGUGUCUCAUGCCGUGUGGUGUCUCCCAGAACUCUGGGUGUAUGACCAUCCUGAAACCGGAUGAGAUCAUGAAGAACUGGACACUAUCAUACGCAUGUCCUUGGGGCAUUGCCACACCAUGUGGUCAUCUACAAAAUUCAUAAAGGAGAACUGCACAAUUGAGUUUCAAAAUUUUUUUAAUUAAUUAUUAAUAAGUCGCAAGAAAUCUCAUGCU